rnacentral:rRNA from 1 species
GAUGAACGCUGGCGGCGUGCCUAAUACAUGCAAGUCGAGCGAACGGACGAGAAGCUUGCUUCUCUGAUGUUAGCGGCGGACGUGUGAGUAACACGUGGAUAACCUACCUAUAAGACUGGGAUAACUUCGGGAAACCGGAGCUAAUACCGGAUAAUAUUUUGAACCGCAUGGUUCAAAAGUAAAAGACGGUCUUGCUGUCACUUAUAGAUGGAUCCGCGCUGCAUUAGCUAGUUGGUAAGGUAACGGCUUACCAAGGCAACGAUGCAUAGCCGACCUGAGAGGGUGAUAGGCCACACUGGAACGGAGACAGGGUCCAGACUCCUGAGAGAGGCAGCAGUAGGGAAUCUUCCGCAAAGGGCGAAAGCCUGACGGAGCAACGCCGCGUGAGUGAUGAAGGUCUUCGGAUCGUAAAACUCUGUUAUUAGGGAAGAACAUAUGUGUAAAUAACUGUGCACAUCUUGACGGUACCUAAUCAGAAAGCCACGGCUAACUACGUG